CAACCUGAGAGUUUGAUCCUGGCUCAGAGCGAACGCUGGCGGCAGGCCUAAUACAUGCAAGUCGAGCGGGUCCUUCGGGACUAGCGGCGGAUGGGUGAGUAACGCGUGGGAAUGUGCCCUUUGGUACGGAACAACUGAGGGAAACUUCAGCUAAUACCGUAUGUGCCCUUCGGGGGAAAGAUUUAUCGCCAUUGGAGCGGCCCGCGUCUGAUUAGCUUGUUGGUGAGGUAAAGGCUCACCAAGGCGACGAUCAGUAGCUGGUCUGAGAGGAUGACCAGCCACAUUGGGACUGAGACACGGCCCAAACUCCUACGGGAGGCAGCAGUGGGGAAUCUUGCGCAAUGGGCGAAAGCCUGACGCAGCCA
rnacentral:rRNA from 1 species